GCAAGGGAAGUCGGCAAAA
rnacentral:snRNA from 1 species